GAUGAACGCUAGCUACAGGCUUAACACAUGCAAGUCGAGGGGAAACGAUAGAGAAAGCUUGCUUUUUCUAGGCGUCGACCGGCGCACGGGUGAGUAACGCGUAUCCAACCUGCCCACCACUUGGGGAUAACCUUGCGAAAGUAAGACUAAUACCCAAUGACGUCUCUAGAAGACAUCUGAAAGAGAUUAAAGAUUUAUCGGUGAUGGAUGGGGAUGCGUCUGAUUAGCUUGUUGGCGGGGUAACGGCCCACCAAGGCGACGAUCAGUAGGGGUUCUGAGAGGAAGGUCCCCCANAUUGGAACUGAGACACGGUCCAAAACUCCUACGGGAGGCAGCAGUGAGGAAUAUUGGUCAAUGGACGAGAGUCUGAACCAGCCAAGUAGCGUGCAGGAUGACGGCCCUAUGGGUUGUAAACUGCUUUUAUAAGGGAAUAAAGUGAGUCUCGUGAGACUUUUUGCAUGUACCUUAUGAAUAAGGACCGGCUAAUUCCGUGCCAGCAGCCGACGG
rnacentral:rRNA from 1 species